rnacentral:lncRNA from 1 species
AGCAUGGUAAUAACAGAGCCCAAUCACCUAAUCUGUAAGCGGACAUCACCAGACAAGGCUAUGUUUCAGAGGUGAAGGAUGGGCAAGCGUUGGAUUCAC